GCCUCCAAGAGACUGGUGUCGUGACCCUAAAUGUUCUCGCAAUUUGUGACAAUUUCUGUGUUUAACAGUAACUUACAUCGUUUGAAACAAGUCGAACUAUUGAUUUUGUCAUUUCAGUUCUCGGCGAUGGACUAGCAAUUACGACUACUGGCUGAUUUUUUGAAUAUUACGAUAGCGAUUCUUGGAAUCCCGAAGACGACUCGGUCACCAGAAACUGAAUUCGGCAAUGGAAAAAACUGGCAAUGACACCAACUCACAUGGACUUGAGGAAGAAGCUGCUGUCGAAUCAAGUUAUUCUUCAUCUCCUGGAACAAGUUCAUCAGAUGAAUCUGAUGGAUGUGAUUCUGAGCCAGACACUAGAAAUCCUGCUGUCAAGAAACAACCCAAAGGCCGGAAAGAAGACUCUCAAUGGGAAAAGUGAAAUUCUAAAUUAUAUCAAUGUUUCUGGAACAAUGGCAGAUGAAGAGCUUACCAGACAACCAAAAUUGUACAAAAUUGUUGCACCAGCAGUGACAGACUCUACGAGGCCAAUUCUCACCAAACAGCUGAACUAUGCAGCUGCCAAACGUAAAAGAAAGCCAAAAUCUAUUGCUGAGCCUUUCAAAAGUUUCCAGGAUGACAAGGAGGAGCAAGAAGUAUAUUCCAUGGUGGGAAUGAUGAUUGAUUUGUUGGCUCGCCAUCAACCAAGUAUGCACGUUGCUUACCUUGCAGUAACACAAGUUCGCGAUUUCCUGAUUCCACUUAAAGAGCAAAAUUCAAACGCCUAACUGAGGGACAAGGCAGUUCAAUCCCCUGUCCGGCCAGAGAUCCAACCAAUCGAAGGUGAAGAUUUGCACGUUGGUCAUCGAUGGGCAUUUUCGCCCGACAAAUCAACAGCCCAUGAAGAUCAAUCAGAUGAGGCCUCCUCAUCCAACAGCAGCAGCGUUACACCUCGACCAAAAUUGUGGCCAGGCCAAGCAUUUAACACUGAUGGUAGUGCUGGAGUGAGUUCGCCACAUCCUUACCCGUUAACCCAGUGCCUCAAAGUGCGCAACAUGUUUGACGCCGAAGUAGAGCAGGGCGAUUCAUGGCCGGUGCGUAUUCAGAACGUAAUUUUGGAGAAGGCCGAUAACAAGGGGGAUAUUUUGCAUAUGGCUGUUGAUCGUGAUUCGCGAGAAGGUUGUGUUUACAUCAAGUGUGCAAGUGCUGAUGAUGCCGGCAAGGUAUACCACUCGCUCCACGGCUGGUGGUUUGAUGGCAAUUUGGUCACAGUCAAGUACCUUAGUC